UGUAAGGAUGCUGGUAGUGUGUGUGUGUGUGAGGGUGCUGUGAGGGUGCUGUGCGUGUGUGAAUUUGUUUGGAGGGAUUGUGUGUAGGGGUAGGGGGGACAGAUUAGUAAAUAGCCCCCCUCCCUUCUUACCUUUUGCGUGGGAGGGGUGAUCUUUGCUGCCAUCCCUGAUCCCUGGUGGUCCUAGUGUGAGUGAACUCUAGCCUGCGGACGUGACGUCAAAGUGCUCCACCUUCACAGGGUUUCAAGGAGUAGCAGGAGGAUCCGCUUUGGCACAGGGUGAAGACAGCGCCAUUGGGGGUAUACAAGAGGCUGGACUUCAUAGUUGCAUACUGGCAGCGGCAAUGUGAGUGGAGUCUGCUUGUUGGCUAAUAUUUUUUUUUUUAAAACAAGGGCCGGGCUUCGUAGAGGGAAGUGCUGGG